UACGUAGGGUGCGAGCGUUGUCCGGAAUUACUGGGCGUAAAGGGCGCGUAGGCGGCCAGCACAAGUCAGUUGUGAAAUCUCCGAGCUUAACUCGGAAAGGUCAACUGAUACUGUGCGGCUAGAGUGCGGAAGGGGCAACUGGAAUUCUUGGUGUAGCGGUGAAAUGCGUAGAUAUCAAGAGGAACACCUGCGGCGAAGGCGGGUUGCUGGGCCGACACUGACGCUGAGGCGCGAAAGCGUGGGGAGCAAACAGG
rnacentral:rRNA from 1 species